UUCGCAAUGCCCGAAAGGGUGAACGAGCGACACCGCGUGCGGGAUGAAGGGUUUCGGCUUGUAAACCGCUUUUCUUUGGGAAGAAGGUCUGUCUCGUGAAGAUGGGCUCGACGGUACCAGAGGAAUAAGCCUCGGCUAACUCAGUGCCAGCAGCCGCGGUAAUACGGAUGGAGCAAGCGUUGUUCGGAAUCACUGGGCAUAAAGCGCAUGUAGGCGGCCUUGAAAGUCGGGUGUGAAAUCCCCUGGCCCACCCAGGGAACUGCAUUCGAAACUUCAAGGCUUGAGUGAAGAAGGGGAGAGUGGAACUCCUGGUGGAGCGGUAAAAUGCGUAGAUAUCAGGAGGAACGCCGGUGGAGAAGUCGACCCUCUGGUCUUUUACUGACGCUGAGAUGCGAAAGCUAGGGGAGCAAACGGGAUUAGAUACCCCGGUAGUCCUAGCCGUAAACGAUGGGCACUAAGUAGAGGGGUUUU
rnacentral:rRNA from 1 species